rnacentral:rRNA from 1 species
UUUGAGACCGGCGCACGGGUGCGUAACGCGUAUGCAAUCUACCUUGUACAGGGGAAUAGCCCAGAGAAAUUUGGAUUAAUGCCCCAUAGUAUAUAACCUUCGCAUGUUGGUUAUAUUAAAGUUCCAACGGUACAAGAUGAGCAUGCGUCCCAUUAGUUAGUUGGUAAGGUAACGGCUUACCAAGACGAUGAUGGGUAGGGGUCCUGAGAGGGAGAUCCCCCACACUGGUACUGAGACACGGACCAGACUCCUACGGGAGGCAGCAGUGAGGAAUAUUGGUCAAUGGUCGCAAGACUGAACCAGCCAUGCCGCGUGCAGGAAGACGGUCCUAUGGAUUGUAAACUGCUUUUAUACAGGAAGAAACCCUCCCACGUGUGGGAGCUUGACGGUACUGUAGGAAUAAGGAUCGGCUAACUCCGUGCCAGCAGCCGCGGUAAUACGGAGGAUCCAAGCGUUAUCCGGAAUCAUUGGGUUUAAAGGGUCCGUAGGCGGUCUUAUAAGUCAGUGGUGAAAGCCCAUCGCUCAACGAUGGAACUGCCAUUGAUACUGUAAGACUUGAAUGCUUAGGAAGUAACUAGAAUAUGUAGUGUAGCGGUGAAAUGCUUAGAUAUUACAUGGAAUACCAAUUGCGAAGGCAGGUUACUACUAAGUGAUUGACGCUGAUGGACGAAAGCGUGGGGAGCGAACAGGGAUUAGAUACCCUGGUAGUCCACGCCGUAAACGAUGGAUACUAGCUGUUCGACGCAAGUUGAGUGGCUAAGCGAAAGUGAUAAGUAUCCCACCUGGGGGAGUACGCACGCAAGUGUGAAACUCAAAGGAAUUUGACGGGGGUCCCGCACAAGCGGUGGAGCAUGUGGGUUUAAUUCGAUGAUACGCGAGGAACCUUACCUGGGCUUAAAUGUAGAUUGACAGGUCUGGAAACAGACUUUUCUUCGGACAAUUUACAAGGUGCUGCAUGGUUGUCGUCAGCUCGUGCCGUGAGGUGUCAGGUUAAGUCCUAUAACGAGCGCAACCCCUGUCGUUAGUUGCCAGCGAGUCAUGUCGGGAACUCUAACGAGACUGCCAGUGUAAACUGUGAGGAAGGUGGGGAUGACGUCAAAUCAUCACGGCCCUUACGUCCUGGGCCACACACGUGCUACAAUGGUAGGUACAGAGAGCAGCCACUGCGCGAGCAGGAGCGAAUCUACAAAACCUAUCUCAGUUCGGAUCGGAGUCUGCAACUCGACUCCGUGAAGCUGGAAUCGCUAGUAAUCGGAUAUCAGCCAUGAUCCGGUGAAUACGUUCCCGGGCCUUGUACACACCGCCCGUCAAGCCAUGGAAGCUGGG